rnacentral:rRNA from 1 species
GCGUCAGCCGGAUAUGCAAGACUGCAGUCU